rnacentral:rRNA from 1 species
AGUCGUACCAAGGUUCCCGUAGGUGACCCUGCGGAAGGAUCAUUAAAGAAAUUUAAUAAUUUUGAAAAUGGAUUUUUUUUGUUUUGGCAAGAGCAUGAGAGCUUUUACUGGGCAAGAAGACAAGAGAUGGAGAGUCCAGCCGGGCCUGCGCUUAAGUGCGCGGUCUUGCUAGGCUUGUAAGUUUCUUUCUUGCUAUUCCAAACGGUGAGAGAUUUCUGUGCUUUUGUUAUAGGACAAUUAAAACCGUUUCAAUACAACACACUGUGGAGUUUUCAUAUCUUUGCAACUUUUUCUUUGGGCAUUCGAGCAAUCGGGGCCCAGAGGUAACAAACACAAACAAUUUUAUCUAUUCAUUAAAUUUUUGUCAAAAACAAGAAUUUUCGUAACUGGAAAUUUUAAAAUAUUAAAAACUUUCAACAACGGAUCUCUUGGUUCUCGCAUCGAUGAAGAACGCAGCGAAAUGCGAUACGUAAUGUGAAUUGCAGAAUUCCGUGAAUCAUCGAAUCUUUGAACGCACAUUGCGCCCCUUGGUAUUCCAGGGGGCAUGCCUGUUUGAGCGUCAUUUCCUUCUCAAACAUUCUGUUUGGUAGUGAGUGAUACUCUUUGGAGUUAACUUGAAAUUGCUGGCCUUUUCAUUGGAUGUUUUUUUUCCAAAGAGAGGUUUCUCUGCGUGCUUGAGGUAUAAUGCAAGUACGGUCGUUUUAGGUUUUACCAACUGCGGCUAAUCUUUUUUUAUACUGAGCGUAUUGGAACGUUAUCGAUAAGAAGAGAGCGUCUAGGCGAACAAUGUUCUUAAAGUUUGACCUCAAAUCAGGUAGGAGUACCCGCUGAACUUAAGCAUAUCUAAAAGUCG